AAAUCAAAGUAUAAGAGGUCUUACCUGCCCAGUGACAUUAUGUUAAACGGCCGCGGUAUUUUGACCGUGCUAAGGUAGCGCAAUCACUUGUCUUUUAAAUGGAGACCUGUAUGAAUGGUGAAACGAGGGCUUAACUGUCUCCCUUUUUAGGUCAGUGAAAUUGAUCUAUCCGUGCAGAAGCGGAUAUAAAUAUACAAGACGAGAAGACCCUUUGGAGCUUAAGACACAAGGUUAACUACGUCAAUAAUCCUUAUAAAAAGGAAUGAAACAGAGUAAUAACUAACCAACGUCUUCGGUUGGGGCGACCACGGGGGAAAAACAAGCCCCCAUGUGGAUUGGGGUAACCUAAAACCACGAGAGACACCUCUAAGUCACAGAAAAUCUGACCAAAAGAUCCGGCUUCCUAGCCGAUCAGCGGACUAAGUUACCCUAGGGAUAACAGCGCAAUCCCCUCCAAGAGUUCAUAUCGACAAGGGGGUUUACGACCUCGAUGUUGGAUCAGGACAUCCUAAUGGUGCAGCCGCUAUUAAGGGUUCGUUUGUUCAACGAUUAAAGU
rnacentral:rRNA from 1 species